GAUAUUCAUGCGUUCUUUUCCAAAGCAAUAAACCGAAGUUAAAAAUAAACAGCACUGGUUGAUUCGAGUUGAAGUAAGACGGCUAAUGUUAACAGAUAAACUGGAUAGGGCAAGUAAGUCAAAUAAACUCAAAUCCAUGAGACGUGGCAACAUUACCGACGCCACCAAAGUCAAACGGGGUUUCACAGCAAACUCCUGACAUAGUUGUCAAAAAUUUUCAAAUUUAAAACGAGUUUUUGUCCCAAAAAAUCGGUGUUGAUCAGUAAAAACACUUGCGCGGGAGGAAAAUAAGUUGUUUAAGUUCUUCUGGAGUGAAGUAGUGCAUAAACUGCAGUUUGCACUUAAUUAUGUUACCGAAGGAUCUUUAGCUUCCAGUCGCAGAAAACCGGGUAACAAGUUCUCGCAGGAAAACAGCAGUAAUCCUGGGGCUUUGGAUGUAUGAGCCUGAAUAAAAGGGCGUUCUAAAUCGCCAUUUUCAAGGCUUCAAGGUUCCAACCAGUACCGAUUGGAACAAAGGAACAGUCUGAUCGUGCACUAAACACUUUUGAGAUGGUUCGUCAACAUAGUCCCAUGAAACCCUUUGGGAUUAGCCGCUGGUACUCAUUAGGAUUUUUACACGGUUAUAUUACAAAGGCCACAAUACACAUAACAUGGAGGAGAUCCUCGGGGGAUCUAUAAUAAAAGAUUAAUCGUAGGACUUGCGCGCUUCGGCCCGAGCCAGCCGGAGAAGAGUGUUCAAUGGUUCAAUAAUCUUCCGUGGGAAAAGAGAGAAAGCGUUCUUCGUAUGUAUCCCCUGCUCAUAAUCUGGGCUUUUUCAUUGCGCAUCAAAUCGCUAAGAAAAUUUGAAAUAAAGCUCCUAAAGAGUU